rnacentral:rRNA from 1 species
GAUGAACGCUGGCGGCGUGCCUAAUACAUGCAAGUCGAGCGAACAGAUGAGGAGCUUGCUCCUCUGACGUUAGCGGCGGACGGGUGAGUAACACGUGGAUAACCUACCUAUAAGACUGGGAUAACUUCGGGAAACCGGAGCUAAUACCGGAUAAUAUAUUGAACCGCAUGGUUCAAUAGUGAAAGACGGUUUUGCUGUCACUUAUAGAUGGAUCCGCGCCGCAUUAGCUAGUUGGUAAGGUAACGGCUUACCAAGGCAACGAUGCGUAGCCGACCUGAGAGGGUGAUCGGCCACACUGGAACUGAGACACGGUCCAGACUCCUACGGGAGGCAGCAGUAGGGAAUCUUCCGCAAUGGGCGAAAGCCUGACGGAGCAACGCCGCGUGAGUGAUGAAGGUCUUCGGAUCGUAAAACUCUGUUAUUAGGGAAGAACAAAUGUGUAAGUAACUAUGCACGUUUUGACGGUACCUAAUCAGAAAGCCACGGCUAACUACGG